UUGAUUUGACGUGAUAUAUUUAUUAUGUUUGGCAUGUCAGCCUGUGGAUUCUCUGUACAACUUCCGUGCAGGGUUUUCUCACGUUGCAUCUCCUUGCCGGAAGCCAGCUUUGUGUAGACUCCAAGAGGUUUAAGUGUUUUACGAAGUGGCAAUUGAUAGCCACUUAAUAAUUGCUCCGAGUCAAGAGAUUUUAUUGACCUACCAAUAAAGCAUGCAUUUUUUUUUUUUUUUUUUUGGACUUAGAUUUAGUGCAUUUAUGGGCUCA
rnacentral:lncRNA from 1 species